rnacentral:ribozyme from 16 species
AAAAACAUCCCGUGUACACUCGAACAUUACGGGAAUGGAAAAGAAAAAAAAAGAAAAAAAAAAAAGUGAUCGGAUUUCUCUUUAUUUGUUUUUUCCUUCUGAAAUACAAUAUAUUGUGCGUCUUCCCACGUCAUUGUUUUCUUCUUUCUUUUUUUUUCA